UACGGAGGGUGCAAGCGUUAUCCGGAUUCACUGGGUUUAAAGGGUGCGUAGGCGGAUUUGUAAGUCCGUGGUGAAAUCUCUAAGCUUAACUUGGAAAUUGCCGUGGAUACUAUAAGUCUUGAAUAUUGUGGAGGUUAGCGGAAUAUGUCAUGUAGCGGUGAAAUGCAUAGAUAUGACAUAGAACACCAAUUGCGAAGGCAGCUGGCUGCACAACUAUUGACGCUGAGGCACGAAAGCGUGGGGAGCAAACAGG
rnacentral:rRNA from 1 species